rnacentral:ncRNA from 2 species
CUCUUAUUCAGAGAGGUGGAGGGACUGGCCCUAUGAAGCCCGGCAACCGUCAAACAACUGUUUGAAAAGGUGCCAAUUCCUGCAAAGCGUAUGCUUUGAGAAAUGAGAG